rnacentral:rRNA from 1 species
GUGCCAGACUCCUACGGGAGGCAGCAGUGGGGAAUAUUGGGCAAUGGGCGCAAGCCUGACCCAGCAACGCCGCGUGAAGGAAGAAGGCUUUCGGGUUGUAAACUUCUUUUGACAGGGAAGAGCAGAAGACGGUACCUGUCGAAUAAGCCACGGCUAACUACGUGCCAGCAGCCGCGGUAAUACGUAGGGAGCAAGCGUUAUCCGGAUUUACUGGGUGUAAAGGGCGUGUAGGCGGGCCUGUAAGUCAGAAGUGAAAUCUGGGGGCUUAACCCCCAAACUGCUUUUGAAACUGCGGGUCUUGAGUGAUGGAGAGGCAGGCGGAAUUCCCAGUGUAGCGGUGAAAUGCGUAGAUAUUGGGAGGAACACCAGUGGCGAAGGCGGCCUGCUGGACAUUAACUGACGCUGAGGCGCGAAAGCGUGGGGAGCAAACAGGAUUAGAUACCCCGGUAU